rnacentral:rRNA from 2 species
GGUUAAGCGACUAAGCGUACACGGUGGAUGCCCUGGCAGUCAGAGGCGAUGAAGGACGUGCUAAUCUGCGAAAAGCGCCGGCGAGGUGAUAUGAACCUUUGACCCGGCGAUGUCCGAAUGGGGAAACCCAGUGUGUUCCGACACACUAUCGUUAACUGAAUACAUAGGUUAACGAGGCGAACCGGGGGAACUGAAACAUCUAAGUACCCCGAGGAAAAGAAAUCA